GAUGAACGCUGGCGGCGUGCCUAAUACAUGCAAGUCGAGCGAAUGGAUUGAGAGCUUGCUCUUAUGAAGUUAGCGGCGGACGGGUGAGUAACACGUGGGUAACCUGCCCAUAAGACUGGGAUAACUCCGGGAAACCGGGGCUAAUACCGGAUAACAUUUUGAACCGCAUGGUUCGAAAUUGAAAGGCGGCUUCGGCUGUCACUUAUGGAUGGACCCGCGUCGCAUUAGCUAGUUGGUGAGGUAACGGCUCACCAAGGCAACGAUGCGUAGCCGACCUGAGAGGGUAAUCGGCCACACUGGGACUGGGACACGGCCCAGACGCCUACGGGAGGCAGCAGUAGGGAAUCUUCCGCAAUGGACGAAAGUCUGACGGGGCAACGCCGCGUGAGUGAUGAAGGCUUUCGGGUCGUAAGACUCUGUUGUUAGAGAAGAACAAGUGCUAGUUGAAUAAGCUGGCACCUUGACGGUACCUAACCAGAAAGCCACGGCUAACUACGAGCCAGCCGCCGCGGUAA
rnacentral:rRNA from 1 species